UUACUAAAAAAUUAUUAGUUAUGUUCUUAAAAUUUAAAAAAUUUGGCGGUAUUUUAGUCUUAUUAGAGGAACCUGUUGUAUAAUUGAUAAUCCACGAUUUAUUUUACUUAUUUUAUUAAUUUAUAUAUCGCUGUCAUGAAUAUAUUAAAAAAUUAAUUUUCUUUAAAUUAUUAUUGUAAUUUAUGUUAAGUCAAGAUGUAGUUUAUAAAUAAGUUAUAAAUGGGUUACAUUAAAUUUUAUUUAUGGAUUUUAAAUGAAAAUAAAAAGGAAAUUGAAUUUAAUAGUAAAUUUAAUUAUUUUAUUAAUAUGAAUAAAGAUCUAAAAUAUGUACAUAUUGCCCGUCAUUCUUAUUAAAAAUAAGACAAGUCGUAACAAAGUAAAUGUACUGGAAAGUGUAUUUAGAAAGAUUUAAUUAAUUUAAAAAGUUAUUAAUAAAA
rnacentral:rRNA from 1 species